rnacentral:rRNA from 1 species
AGUGAACGCUGGCGGUAGGCCUAACACAUGCAAGUCGAACGGCAGCACAGAGGAGCUUGCUCCUUGGGUGGCGAGUGGCGGACGGGUGAGGAAUACAUCGGAAUCUACUCUGUCGUGGGGGAUAACGUCGGGAAACUUACGCUAAUACCGCAUACGACCUACGGGUGAAAGCAGGGGAUCUUCGGACCUUGCGCGAGUGAAUGAGCCGAUGUCGGAUUAGCUAGUUGGCGGGGUAAAGGCCCACCAAGGCAACGAUCCGUAGCUGGUCUGAGAGGAGGAUCAGGCACACUGGAACGGAGCCGCGGUCCGGACUCCUACGGGAGGCAGCAGUGGAGAAUAUUGGACAAUGGGAGCGAGCCUGAUCCAGCCAUACCGAGUGGGUGAAGAAGGCCUUCGGGUUGUAAAGCCAUUUUGUUGGGAAAGAAAUCCAUCUGGUUAAUACCCGGGUGGGAUGACGGUACACAAAGAAUAAGCACCGGCUAACUUCGUGCCAGCAGCCGCGGUAA